rnacentral:rRNA from 1 species
CUCUUGCCAUCAGAUGUGCCCAGAUGGGAUUAGCUUGUUGGUGAGGUAACGGCUCACCAAGGCGACGAUCCCUAGCUGGUCUGAGAGGAUGACCAGCCACACUGGAACUGAGACACGGUCCAGACUCCUACGGGAGGCAGCAGUGGGGAAUAUUGCACAAUGGGCGCAAGCCUGAUGCAGCCAUGCCGCGUGUAUGAAGAAGGCCUUCGGGUUGUAAAGUACUUUCAGCGGGGAGG